AAGAUGAAUGCUUCUCCAGCUUUAGUGACUGUGAUGCUGCUCGUGCUUGGGAGGAUCCAUGGAAACUCAGUGAUCCAGAAACAAGGUCAAGUGACCCUCUCAGAAGACAGUGUUCUCUUUAUAAACUGCACUUAUUCAUCCACAGGGUACCCAACUCUUUUUUGGUAUGUUCAGUAUUCUGGAGAAAGCCCUGAGCUCCUUUUGAAAGUUACAACAGCUGGCGAGAAGGGAAGCAGCAGAGGGUUUGAAGCCACAUAUGAUAGAGGAACCACCUCCUUCCACUUGCAGAAAGCCUCGGUGCAGGAGUCAGACUCGGCUGUGUACUACUGUGCUCUGAGAGACACAGUGGCAGACACUGCAGGGGGAGCUGAGCACAAACCCUGA